rnacentral:lncRNA from 1 species
UUCCAGGGGCCCUCAGUGCCCAGGGAGGCCAAGGUGCUUCAUGUCAGGGAUGCCCCAACCAGCGGCUGUGCACUUCUGGAGUGGGGGCUACCCCAGACCCGGCUAUAGAGGAAAUCAAAGAGAAAAUGAAAACCAUAAAACACAAAAUCUUGGUAUUGUUUGGGAAAGGCAGUGUUGGGAAAAGCACAUUCAGUGCCCACCUUGCCCAUGGCCUAGCAGAGGAUGAAAAC